rnacentral:rRNA from 1 species
UACGUAGGUGGCGAGCGUUGUCCGGAAUUACUGGGUGUAAAGCGCGCGUAGGCGGUAGGCCAAGUCUGCUGUGAAAUCGCCCGGCUCAACUGGGCGCGGUCGGUGGAAACUGGUCAACUGGAGGACGGUAGAGGCGAGUGGAAUUCCCGGUGUAGUGGUGAAAUGCGUAGAGAUCGGGAGGAACACCAGUGGCGAAGGCGGCUCGCUGGGCCGGACCUGACGCUGAGGCGCGAAGGCGUGGGGAGCAAACAGG